GGGUUGUAAACUUCUUUUAUAAAGGAAUAAAGUCGGGUAUGCAUACCCGUCUGCAUGUACUUUAUGAAUAAGGAUCGGCUAACUCCGUGCCAGCAGCCGCGGUAAUACGGAGGAUCCGAGCGUUAUCCGGAUUUAUUGGGUUUAAAGGGAGCGUAGAUGGAUGUUUAAGUCAGUUGUGGAAGUUUGCGGCUCAACCGUAAAAUUGCAGUUGAUACUGGAUGUCUUGAGUGCAGUUGAGGCAGGCGGAAUUCGUGGUGUAGCGGUGAAAUGCUUAGAUAUCACGAAGAACUCCGAUUGCGAAGGCAGCCUGCUAAGCUGCAACUGACAUUGAGGCUCGAAAGUGUGGGUAUCAAACAGGAUUAGAUACCCUGGUAGUCCACACGGUAAA
rnacentral:rRNA from 1 species